UAGAGGAGACAACUCAUAAAGAAGUUAAUACUUAAUACUUUCUCUUGUAAUCUUGCAUUCUUAGAUUCAAUCAACAUAUCUUCAUUCAUACUCACUUGAAUAUGACAAUGUCUUUUCAGGUACCCAACCAGGUAAUUCAAGGUCGACUCUUAUCUAGAUUCAGCAAAGACCUCCACGUUAUAAAAGAAUAUUAUUAUUAUCAUUAUCAUCAAACACAUCAUAUCUAUGAUCAACAAUAACAGGUGCAAUUUUGCACAUGUGUUUCUUCUACUGUCAUAUGCUGAAUGCUAGAUUCGCCAACAUAUCCAAGAGAAAGUUAGAGUAAAUAUUGAUCAAACAAUUUAAUGAUAGACUGGGCAUUCUAUGUAUAAGCUAAGAGGAGUCAUCAGAAGAAUCAGCAGCCAUAUAACUGCAAGUACUGAAACAGAAACAGAAGCAAAAUACAUAAAACAGCAACCACAGAAGGGAAGAGACCCAUAAACAACAGAUGACCGAAAAUGUAACCACCUAGACAAAGUCAAAGAUAGGGUGAUAAGUUGAUCAGGACCAGUGGCAUGCUGUUUGGCCGACGGUAGGACUGCGCGUGGCUUAGAUGCGCUGAAAACGCGGUUGUGCUUUGGCAGUGUAUAAGGCAAAUUCCGAUGGCGCCGCGUGAUGGGUAGGUUUUGUCAAGAGAUUUUUGAGGUGGUUUGAAGUGAAGGUUUUCUGUAGGUAUGCUGGUUGGUGGCUGUUAAUGAAGGACUGAUUAUAUUUGGGACAUUAUGGUUAUGAGAAU